CAGAGGGGGCAAGCGUUGUUCGGAAUUACUGGGCGUAAAGGGCGCGUAGGCGGCCUUCUAAGUCGAACGUGAAAUCCCCGGGCUCAACCCGGGAACUGCGUCCGAGACUGGAAGGCUUGAAUCCGGGAGAGGGAUGUGGAAUUCCAGGUGUAGCGGUGAAAUGCGUAGAUAUCUGGAGGAACAUCGGUGGCGAAGGCGGCAUCCUGGACCGGUAUUGACGCUGAGGCGCGAAAGCCAGGGGAGCAAACGGGAUUAGAUACCCCGGUAGUCCUGGCCCUAAACGAUGAAUGCUUGGUGUGGCGGGUAUCGAUCCCUGCCGUGCCGAAGCUAACGCAUUAAGCAUUCCGCCUGGGGAGUACGGUCGCAAGGCUG
rnacentral:rRNA from 1 species